UGUUGUAAGCGUUAGGGUCGUCUUAAUCUGGUUGGCACGUUGACCUGGUGAAUGUAAAGCUCAUCAGUGGCAUUGGCAGAUAUAUACUUUUUCAGCCACGAAAGCCGCUCAGAAAAGACCUUGUAUUGGGCCGCGUGUCAUCAGUUCUCUACAGCUUGUUCCUGCCGAAUAAAGUGGUCUCCGGCACAGUCUGGAUCUGUUCGCAGCGUAGCCAUAGAUAGCCGGCGGCGUCACGUCGAGCAAAGCACAGUGCCGCUAAUGCUCUCACUGUUACGCUGCCGCGGCGCAACCGUUGACUGCAGAUGAUGUGGGAAGAAACGACCAAGUAGCGACAAAAAACGUUAAGCAAAAAUAAAACAACUUCUAAACUCCUCUGCCUAAUCAAGCGAUUGAGUUCGCUUCGGGAAAGCAACUCCACGGGCUAGACGCGUCCACGAGCGUCUAGUGGAAGCGAAAUUUGCGGCCGUAAGCAGUUCCACACCGUUCCUGCGCUCAAUGGCCUGUGGCGCUGUAAUGUGUAACGCUGCUGCUGCUGCUGCUGCUAAUGCCGCUGAAUUCUAAAGUAAAGCCGCGUUACAAAACAUCAUCUGUCAUCUCGACCUGGAUUUCUACGCUGAAAUCUGCGUCUCGGUGCGUGUGACACUGUAUUGGCCAACGAAAUAUAGACGUACACAGAAACAGAUACCCAAUGCAUGCACCCUACGAUGAUUUAUGCAUUUCUAAUAACUGUCGACCGUACGACGCGUGAUCUCACAUCAACGAUGCGUGUAUUCGACUCGUAUAUAUGCGCCGUCCACCUUCAAUGCUUAUAUAUAUAUACGUAAAUGUGGCUUAUAUGCUUUCAGCCAUUAUGUGGUACUGCCAAUGUGAGCUUUUACAUAUGUUGGAUUGUAUACUAUAUAUGCCUGUAAAUGUUUAUUUCGUUUCGUCAGUUGGUAACUUUACCAAGAAGUAAAGAAAUUACCAUUCGUCGGGCGGACGAAUCGACAAGGCGCUAGUGGCAUCGUAUUCGCGGUCAGCUAGAACGGACCGUCGUAAUAGGACAAUCAAAAUUAUUCCAGUAGCAAAACAAACGCUUCAAAGUCUCUCGUAUUUAUCUUGACAAAAUUGUAUGCAUGCAUAUAUAUAUGCAGCAAAGCUAGACUCCGCUCUUUCCAGGGAAUAGGUUUUUAGCUUCGAUCGAUCAUUGACACCAUAGUUGACAAACAUCUGUGUCUUUAUUACUAAUUUUAAAUUACAUGGUAAGCGGGCAGUUUUUAUACGUAAAACUUAUACGAUCCAUAUCCUCAUUUGAAUCCAUAAGAAAUACAAAAUGACAACGUAAAAACAUUGUUGAUGGUAGCGUUAACAAUUGAGCAAUGCUAGAACAGCGAAGGUCGCAUUCGAUUUUUUGUCCUUUUUUCAACUUACGUAUUAUUACUUGUAAAAAGCUUUUUUCGACUAUUUGUUGUUAAGAUAUAUGGGGAAUAAGUAAGAUUCAAAUAGCGCUUAUUCAUUUCCUGCGAUAGAUUACAAGGUAACGUGUUUGCGCAUUAGGGACGUUGCGAUCUAGGUUCGAAUCCGGGCGUAGGCACACCUCGUUUCAGAAGCCAGCGGUCUGAUGGAACACCUAACGACGCUGUUAGAUGUAAAUAUAAAGACAUAGCACCUAUUGAACUGAACUCUAAGAUUGAGCAUCGCAUGAUUUUCAACCAACUUGACAAGAAAGACUACCACUAUAAGUGUCCAAGGGAGGGUAUUGUAACAGCUGUCGCUGAUGAUCCAGACUAAUGGAUCACGCAAGUACUAUUGUAUAUUGCAAUACUAAGUAUAUUGCAAGAUCAAGUCAAAAGAACUAUCGGUGCAUUUUUAAAUGUUCGCAACAUAAUCUUAUCAAGAAAUUACUCUUCCUCCAUAACGUGUUUUUAUACAUAAAAAGAAAAAAGAAAUAGAAUUAAACGGUUUAUAGCAUUACCCGUGCUCACUAAUAGCAGACUUUUUCUGUAUCUUAUUAUA
rnacentral:lncRNA from 1 species